rnacentral:rRNA from 1 species
AUUGAACGCUGGCGGCAUGCCUUACACAUGCAAGUCGAACGGGCUUUUGGGGCUUGCACCAAAAGUUAGUGGCGAACGGGUGAGUAAUAUAUCGGAACGUGCCCUAGAGUGGGGGACAACCAGUCGAAAGAUUUGCUAAUACCGCAUACGAUCUAAGGAUGAAAGUGGGGGACCUUCGGGCCUCAUGCUCCUGGAGUGGCCGAUAUCUGAUUAGCUAGUUGGUGGGGUAAAGGACCACCAAGGCGACGAGCAGUAGCUGGUCUGAGAGGACGAUCAGCCACACUGGGACUGAGACACGGCCCAGACUCCUACGGGAGGCAGCAGUGGGGAAUUUUGGACAAUGGGCGCAAGCCUGAUCCAGCAAUGCCGCGUGAGUGAAGAAGGCCUUCGGGUUGUAAAGCUCUUUUGUCGGGGAAGAAACGGUGGGGGCUAAUAUCCUCUGCUAAUGACGGUACCUGAAGAAUAAGCACCGGCUAACUACGUGCCAGCCGCCGCAGUAA